UACGUAGGGGGCAAGCGUUGUCCGGAAUCAUUGGGCGUAAAGCGCGCGUAGGCGGCCCUGUAAGUCCGUUGUGAAAGUCAAAGGCUCAACCUUUGAAAGCCGAUGGAUACUGCAGGGCUAGAGUCCGGAAGAGGCGAGUGGAAUUCCUGGUGUAGCGGUGAAAUGCGCAGAUAUCAGGAGGAACACCCGUGGCGAAAGCGGCUCUCUGGGACGGUACUGACGCUGAGACGCGAAAGCGUGGGGAGCAAACAGG
rnacentral:rRNA from 1 species